UACAGAGGGGGCAAGCGUUGUUCGGAAUUACUGGGCGUAAAGGGCGCGUAGGCGGCCACCUAAGUCAGACGUGAAAUCCCUCGGCUCAACCGGGGAACUGCGUCUGAUACUGGGCGGCUUGAAUUCGGGAGAGGAAUGCGGAAUUCCAGGUGUAGCGGUGAAAUGCGUAGAUAUCUGGAGGAACACCGGUGGCGAAGGCGGCAUUCUGGGCCGACAUUGACGCUGAGGCGCGAAAGCCAGGGGAGCAAACGGG
rnacentral:rRNA from 1 species